rnacentral:rRNA from 1 species
AUUCCAGCUCCAAUAGCGUAUAUUAAAGUUGUUGCAGUUAAAAAGCUCGUAGUUGGAUCUCAGGGUGAGCUCAGUUGGUCGGCCUAAUUGGUCAGAACUGGCUGACUCUCCCUUGUUUCUGAAUCCCGGUCGGAGUUAAUUCUUCGUUCGUGGACUUCAGAUCGUUUACCUUGAAAAAAUUAGAGUGUUCAAAGCGGGCGUUUGCUUGAAUACAUUAGCAUGGAAUAAUGGAAUAGGACCCUGGUUCUAUUUUGUUGGUUUUGAGGACCAGAGUAAUGAUUAAUAGGGAUAGUUGGGGGCAUUCAUAUUUAAUUGUCAGAGGUGUAAUUCUUGGAUUUAUGAAAGAUGAACUUCUGCGAAAGCAUUUGCCAAGGAUGUUUUCAUCA